rnacentral:sRNA from 1 species
UAUAUCCGGUAGGUGAGGCUACCAUAGGGAUACGGAUUGCUACCGUCGAAACUGUGGAGACACGAUGUGAUUGGUUAGCAGAUGAUGUCGAAAACAAGGCAUAAUCUAAUGCAAUUUCACUGCCCUAUGAUGCUAAAACUUGU